rnacentral:rRNA from 1 species
GACGAACGCUGGCGGCGUGCUUAACACAUGCAAGUCGAGCGGUAAGGCCCUUUCGGGGGUACACGAGCGGCGAACGGGUGAGUAACACGUGGGUGACCUGCCCUCAGCUCUGGGAUAAGCCUGGGAAACCGGGUCUAAUACUGGAUAUGACUCCAUGACGCAUGUUGUGGGGUGGAAAGCCUUGUGCGGCUGAGGAUGGGCCCGCGGCCUAUCAGCUUGUUGGUGGGGUGANGGCCUACCAAGGCGACGACGGGUAGCCGGCCUGAGAGGGCGACCGGCCACACUGGGACUGAGACACGGCCCAGACUCCUACGGGAGGCAGCAGUGGGGAAUCUUGCGCAAUGGGCGAAAGCCUGACGCAGCGACGCCGCGUGAGGGAUGACGGCCUCGGUGUAACGUACUU